rnacentral:rRNA from 1 species
GGCCUGGCCGGGCGGUCCGCCUAACGGCGUGUACUGUCUGGCCGGGCCUUACCUCCUGGUGAACCGGGGUGCCCUUUAUUGGGCGCCUCGGGGAACCAGGACCUUUACCUUGAGAAAAUUAGAGUGUUCAAAGCAGGCCUAUGCCCGGAUACAUUAGCAUGGAAUAAUAAAAUAGGACGUGCGGUUCUAUUUUGUUGGUUUCUAGAAUCGCCGUA